AAAAUGACAACAAUCAUACCUGAAGAAUGGCUCCUCUGAGUAUAACACACCCAACAGGAAUCAGGGGUCAUUGUGAUGAGGGGGACAAAACUUGUGUCCUCUCUAUGAACAUAUUACUUACAUGU
rfam:Otolemur garnettii contig173910, whole genome shotgun sequence.